UACCUGGUUGAUCCUGCCAGUAGUCAUAUGCUUGUCUCAAACAUUAAGCCAUGCAAGUCUAAGUACGAGCUCUCGUACAGUGAAACUGCGAAUGGCUCAUUAAAUCAGUUAUGGUUCAUUUGAUCGUACAGUUUACUUGGAUAACUGUGGUAAUUCUAGAGCUAAUACUG
rnacentral:ncRNA from 1 species